UGGCUCAGAUGAACGCUGGCGGCAGGCCUAACACAUGCAAGUCGAACGGUAACAGGAACAGCUUGCUGUUCGCUGACGAGUGGCGGACGGGUGAGUAAUGCCUGGGAAACUGCCUGAUGAGGGGGAUAACUACUGGAAACGGUAGCUAAUACCGCAUAACGUCGCAAGACCAAAGAGGGGGACCUUCGGGCCUCUUGCCAUCGGAUGUGCCCAGAUGGGAUUAGCUUGUUGGUGGGGUAACGGCUCACCAAGGCGACGAUCCCUAGCUGGUCUGAGAGGAUGACCAGCCACACUGGAACUGAGACACGGUCCAGACUCCUACGGGAGGCAGCAGUGGGGAAUAUUGCACAAUGGGCGCAAGCCUGAUGCAGCCAUGCCGCGUGUAUGAAGAAGGCCUUCGGGUUGUAAAGUACUUUCAGCGGGGAGGAAGGGAGUAAAGUUAAUACCUUUGCUCAUUGACGUUACCCGCAGAAGAAGCACCGGCUAACUCCGUGCCAGCCGCUGC
rnacentral:rRNA from 1 species